rnacentral:rRNA from 1 species
GUCUGAUGGAGCACGCCGCGUGAGUGAAGAAGGGUUUCGGCUCGUAAAGCUCUGUUGUUAAAGAAGAACGUGGGUGAGAGUAACUGUUCACCCAGUGACGGUAUUUAACCAGAAAGCCACGGCUAACUACGUGCCAGCAGCCGCGGUAAUACGUAGGUGGCAAGCGUUAUCCGGAUUUAUUGGGCGUAAAGCGAGCGCAGGCGGUCUUUUAAGUCUAAUGUGAAAGCCUUCGGCUCAACCGAAGAAGUGCAUUGGAAACUGGGAGACUUGAGUGCAGAAGAGGACAGUGGAACUCCAUGUGUAGCGGUGAAAUGCGUAGAUAUAUGGAAGAACACCAGUGGCGAAGGCGGCUGUCUGGUCUGUAACUGACGCUGAGGCUCGAAAGCAUGGGUAGCGAACAGGAUAGAUCCC